AGAUGCCGAUUGGUGUUCUCCUUGUUAGUUAGAAGGGACGCAACAGGUUGGUCCUUUAGUAAUAAUACGGUUUUAAGUGAAUGUUGUGAAUAGAAUUAUUAUAUUUUAAAUCAAAGAUGGAUUAUAAACUAACUACUCUUUUAAUUUUUUGUCUUAUUCUUCCUCAUCUGAGUUAUCAACAGUCAAAAUCCCACAAAAAUAACAAUAACAGUAAAUUUAGCGGAGCGCCGUUCUAUAAGGAACCUAGUAAUUGGAAAACUAUAGUUAUUAUAGUUUGCAGCGUUCUGUUCUUUGGUGCUGUGGUUUAUGGUACUACAUGCUUGCAGAUUUGUAAAAUGCAUUUCUUCGAAAGAACCGAAAAAAAGUACACAAAAAUGGAUUCUUGCACUGACGUAUGACAAUGUAAUAAACUGAGAAUCUAUGAUAUGUUUUGUUGUGAUAAAUACUUUGGUUUUAAUAUUGUUUGAAAUUUUAUUCAAAAAAAAUUAUGUAGAUAUGUUAAUCCUUCAAAUUAUACAAUAAUUUCUAUAUUUACUCUUCGAUAUAAGAAGGAAACGUUUUUUACACAAACAGAUACGCUUCACGGGCUGAAAGCUGAUUGUAUUAUGGAUCUAUUAAUUAAUUCACGGAAUUUAACAUACAUAAUUAUGAGUUAGAGAUAAGAUGCCUCCAUAUUUUCGUUAUUUGGAGAAUUUAGUCAAUCAAAAUUUUCAAUUUUGAAUCAUUUUAAAUAUGAGUUUACAAAAAUGAUAAUAUUGUAACUAUUAAACAAUUUAUUUGGGUCCAGAAUCCAUGCUUGGUCUAGCUUAAAGUGUGUAGCUAUUACAUCUCUCAGUAGUCUGCUCGUAAUAUAAAUUCUGCGGAGAUAUAUGGAAAUAACUGGCAUGAGAUAAGCUAAGGUACACAUAGAUAGACCUUUUACCUCUUUUACCAAUCAACUGCUUCACUUAUACAAGCUCCUUUUAAUUUAACACAGUCAUCUAAGACGCCAUCUCCAUGCUAUAGGCAUCACCGACGAUAUGGAAUAGUGUUGUAGUAUGGAGGGGGAAGAAACAAGAGACUAUUUCAUCGGUGAGUGCCUAGUAUUCAUAUCCAAGAGGUUGGAACACUUGGCAAACAUCACAGUUUGACCAUCUAAAAAGAUAAUUAAACGAUCAAUGAUUCGUUAAAGAAUAUUAUUUGAUGUCCACACAUGAUAUUAAUUCUGAGAGAAUUGGUUUUUAAAAUUUUUAAACAAAUGGGAACCAGCUUUGAGACAAUAUAACCCCAUAAGUAGUAAAUGUAGCGCCAUGAAUAAGCAUAAUUUUUUUACGAAAUCAACAUGCGGGUGUAUUCGAUUAGGUUGACAAUUAUGAUGAAACUUCAUUGUACUUGCUUUCCCACAGGCAAACAAGAUCUACAAAUGAUCGGAUUAUUUCAUUUUCUCAAGUAACCGGCAACGGUGUGACAUAAGAGAUUGUUACUAAAAAUUGGAAAAUAUUUACAUGCUUGUUAUGUUCAAUCUAACCUGAAAGACCGUAUAAUCCGGUCAAAAAAAUGAGUUUUUCGCGAUUUUCAGCAAAAAGGUUUAUACCUUAGACAAAAAUUGUAGAUCAUAAAAUUAUCUAUUGAAAACGUAUCAAUACUUUUUUCCUACGAGCCACCCACUGUUUCUGAGAUAUAUUGAUUCAAAAUGUUGUAUAAGUUGUAAUCGUUAUAAUAUGCACACGUUUCCACGCCACCUAUGAGGUAGUGGUUUCCUCAGUAGGCUUUUCCACGUCUGUUGUGAUGUUUAACUUGGAACUACUGCAAAAUAAUGGAAAUUAGCAGAAAUUUAAAAGAUAAAAGCAAUUUAAAUUGAAAAAAGUUGUGAAAUUUAAUCGUUGUAGCUUUCAAAUUCUUCUUCUUCAUCUUCAUUCUGAGUGCAUGUAAAUUGCGUCAAUAGCGAUGUAUUUCAUGUCUGAAUCAAACCGAUCUUCCACAUUUAGCAUUGCAACUGAGGUUGGAGGAAGUCACAGCCAGUUAUUGCGUGUAAAAAUAGUACAUGAUUUUAACACUUUGCAAAAGUAGAUAAACUUUGAUGAAUAGAUUUCCGAUUGAUGUUGAGCUUUUCCUGGUCUUAAGAAGAAAAUAGUUUUUCAGUUGGAGCUGGAGCAGUGAGUAAUACGAGUAAGUCUACAUUUUCACCAACAAGAAUAGUUGUAUUUGUAUUUUAAGUGUAAGUUACAAUGACCGAUAGAAAAAUAUUUCAACAUAUAUUACAAGAGAUGUAUAUAUGUGGCGUACUCGUGGAUAUUAUGACGAUUACAACAUUUACAACUUUUUGAGUAGUUAUAUCUCAGAAACGGUGGCUCAUAGGAAAAAAGUAUUAAUGCAUUUUUUGUGAAUAAUUUUAUGAUCUACAAUUUUUGUCUGAUUUAUUUUUAUGAUAAAACUUACCGUUUUGCUGAAAAUCGCAAAAAACCCAUUUUCUUGACUUUUGACCUUGAAUAAAUUCUUUUCCAUAUUCCAAAUUUCAUUUUUAAUUAUAUUUUAAACAAUUUCACUGAUUUAUAGCUGGGAAUUUAUGUAGCUUUAUUAUUUUCUUGGUUUAAUUUGACAAUAAUGUAUCUAUUAUAUACUUGUGACAUCCUUGUUACGGAAAAUGUUGAAUUGGCUACAUUUGCAGACGACACUGCAAUACUAGCUGUUGGAGAAUCAAUUGGAGUGGUGGUCAAGAAUCUUCACAUUUCAUUGAAAAAAAAGUUAUCUAACAAAUGGAGUAUUAAAAUCAAUUUAGGAUAAUCUGCUCAUAUCAUAUUUAACUAUAAAUAUAAACAAUGUCCCAGUUACAUUUAACAAUAAGAUUAUCUUAUAUAGAGAACUGUCAAAUAUUUAGGACUACAUCUGGAAGGUAAACUCAAGUGGCAGGAACAUUUAAGAAAUGAAGCAGCUUAACUAGGAAGAAACUCACAACUUACUAUUAAGGAGCUAUUAAGGAGGAGUAUGCAACUAUGGGGCCGUAGGUACUAGUGAAAGUAACUUGCUUGCGUUUAAAGAGUCUAAAACCGAAUAUCAAAGAAUAUAGUUGAUUCCCCCUGGUAAGUCAGCAAUCAAUAUCCAUACCGGGAACUCCGUAUAAAAACAGCCGAGAAUAACGACAUCAUAAUCACAUAAACAACGAAAUGUUGGAACUUUAUGAUAAUCAAGACAUAGUUCGCAGACGUUAUUUAAAAUUACGAAAAUAUGGAAAUGUCUUUAUAUCCAAUGGGACACAUUGUAUAUUUGAAUUUACAUUACUUGAAACAAAUUUAAUUUAUAUGUAAGAUAUCCGACAUGUUUUAAUGUUUACAGAACUACCAACAUUUAUUAGUGGUGUUACGUGCUUUUCAUUCUGAAUUAUAUAAAUCUAUUACGUUUUCAAUAUUUAUGAUUUUAAUAAGGCUAUUGUUACAAUGUAGCUCAACACAAAUCAGUAGAAAAACAAAAAAAGUGAAUAAUAAUCAUUUUAAUCUGUUGGAUUCAUCUCGAUAUAUAGUGGCCUGAGUACGUGAACAAAAUUUUGUUGAAUACUAUAUUUAAAUACUGAUCCAAGUUUAUAAAUGCCUGUUGAUAUAAAUUUUAUAGAUAGCUGUAUACACAAUGAGUUUUAUAUAAAGAAUGCUUCAAUUAUCUCUGAAACGGCUUGUAUAAUUUUUUUAAAAUUUGGUGCGCAUCAUUUUUGAUAUAUGGUCAGAUAUUGUUGUCAGAUUUUUGGUUUUUUUAUAUUGAGAUUUCUUUAAUGUAUUGCAUCAUAUAUUUUUAGAUUUGACACUUACAUUGCAUACGAAAUUUGUGGAAAAUUACAGAUCAGAAAGCUCUCGAAUCUAGAUAUGAGUCUUCUCAAUCUAAAUAACAACAUUCCUGGACUUAUAUCAAAUUAUACUUUAUUAUUUUGACACGAAGGAAAAUUGUUAUGAUAAUUAGUUCAUUUACAGACCACACACUACAUUAUAUUGCAAAAAUAUAGUGCCGUUCAACGCUUAUUUAUUUUCAUUAUUCUAUACAGAGUGAGUUUUAGGUUCGGAACGCAUCAAUUAUCUCGGAAACGGCUUGUACGAUUUUUAUAAAUUUUUGUUCGUCAGGCAUGAUACGGCCGGUAUUGUGAUGGUAUCUACAUUGUUGUCAGCUCUUUCCAUUUUGCGGAAAAAUAAUGCUUUUUAUUAUUUCAAAUGGAUCUCCCUAUAUAUUUUGUGUUUUUAGAAAUACUAAUUGUUUUUCAUUUAAUAUUCUCUAUAAUUAAAUGUCACAAUUUCCAUUUACAGUAUCUCCACCAAAGUUACAAUAAAUAUUGUACAUUUAGAUGGCUACGAUUGACCAAACUAUUGAAUAAUCUUUAAUAAUUUUUAUGCUAAUACAAAUCUCGAAACAAGGUCUUGUGUCAGUAAAUUAGUAAAAAUAUUAACGAAACUGGUGCGGUAAAAUAUUUAUCAUGGCGCAUAAAAUCUACAACAACUAAAGACAAAUCUUUAUAUGUUUGUGUCAUGCUACACUUAGAUCUACAUUUGUUAAGUAGUAAAAUUACAAAUUUUAGAAAACAUACAGUAAAGUCGAUUACAGCAGAUGCUCAAAAUGUUGUCUAUUUACUUCAAUACAAAAAGUUAUGCGAUUUUCAAAUCUUUUGCAAUACAUCUUGCAACAUCCCUGACUGCUCAAUUCUUCUUAUCUGUGUGAUAAUCCUAUCUUUUAAUUCCUGAAUAUUGGCAGGUUUUGUUUUAUAAACGAUGCUUCUUAAGUGACCUCACAAGAAAUAGUCUAAAGGAUUCAUGUCGGGUAAUCGCGAGGCCCAUUCGAUAAAACCACGCCUUCCAACCCAUCUUGUGGGAAACACAUUAUUUAGGUAUUGCCUCACCACACACGCAUAGGGAGGUGGGGCACCAUCUUGUAGCAAAAUAUUGUCGUUUGGGAUAUUGUUAUUGUCUGAAAAUUUCUUAUAAUGAAUUCUUUUUUGAUGUAAUUGAAAAUACUUGGGUUGAUGUAUUAUAGUAUCAGAAGCUAUUUAUGAAAUUUGGGGCUGUGUCAUUAGUGCUGUUAUGACAAAGAGAACAACAGCAAAUGAUGGAAGUAUUGAUGGUGCAGAAACUUCUGACAUGAAUUUAUACAUAAUGCUGAUUGAAUAUUUUCUGAAACAUUUGAAAAUUGAUCAGCUUUUUUUUACUCAGUCUCUGUAUGAUAACUAAUUGACUAAAUUAAAAUCUUAAACAUAUGAAUAUUAUCAUAAAAUAAGUCUUUGUUAUAUGUCUUUUCUGAUCCUUUCUGCUGAAUUAGUUUAGGUACAUCAUUUUUUGUCUGAGUGAAAGGAUCUGGAUUGAACCCUAUGGAACUAUGAUUUCAGUGUUGUAUAUUCAGAAUAAUUUAAAUAAGAUUUACUUAGAUGAAAGCUAUAGCAACUAGAUCGUUUGUAUAUCUUAUCUGGUAUAUUCAAAAAAAUAUGUUCUCUCCAAUAUAUCGCGCAAAAAUUAUUGUUACUGUUAUUAACAUUUCCUUUUAUUUAACAAAUAUCAUUAAAUAUUUACUUUUUUAUAUUGACAUUAUAUUUAUUCAUUAUUAAUUUUGUCAUUGAAGGUUUUGUUAGGUUUAUGUUUAUUUUAGAGAUAGGCAAAGCGUUAUCUUCUACAAUUAACGGAAAACUGCCAUAAUAGUGUCUUGAAAAAUUAUAUAUAAGAUACAUAUCUUUAGAUAUGACCUUUCAUAAAGAACGGCGGCAGUUGUGACCAUUUGUCCGUAUUUUAUUAACUAAAGGUAGAAAGGGAAAUGUCACCAAAUAAAUCUAGGAUAUUCUAUGCAGUUUUCUUAUAUAAAAAUAUGAUUUAUCCUGAAAAGUUGCAAUAAUUGAUUCGAUUCUGAAUUUGAUAGACUUAUUCAGUAACAUAUCCAACAGAAAAUCCAAUUCCAAUAUUUGGUUUUCUUCUUCUAUAGUAUUUUUUCAAGCUAAUAGAGUAACUUUCUAAUACUACGUAUCAAAUAAUUCACGUCUACAAUUCCAAAUGUGGCGCUACCUAAUUAUUUGUCUGAGCCCAAAUAAGAUGUAUGAUACGGUGGCAGUCGUAAGGCUUUAAUAGUCUAAGAACCAUUGACCAUUAUAUCCCAUCACUUUUUCACGUGUUGCAUUCCAGUUUCUUAACGGUUUGCAGGACGACUUGAACCACAGUUCGAAGCAAUCGACGACGAGUGUGAUAGUUGCCAAUUUGUAAGGUACCUUUCUCCAGAAAUCUAAUGUCGCUACCUACGAGGAUAUAUUGAAAAGACCUAUCAAAAAAUGUUUUUUUUGCUCUUCAAACCAGACCUCCACAGCUUUUAUUACGUCCUUGUUGAAAGAAAAUUUACGAUCUUUUAAACUUUCUUUAAGUUGAGAAAAGAGAUGAUAGUCGGACGGAGCCAAAUCUGGUGAAUAAGGGGGGUGUUCUAGUAAUUCAAACCCUAUAUCAUGAAUUUUUUGCAUGGCAAACAUGAAAUUUGUUGUCAGGGGCGUUGUGCUGCAAAAACAAAACACCUUUGAAUAGCUUUCCGCGUCUUUUUCCCGUAGAGUGGUCAGCAAGGUUGAAUAGAAAUCUCCAGUUAUUGUUCUACUCUUAUCCAAAAAAUCAAUCAUGAUUACUCCAUGGCAAUCCCAAAAAACUGAAGCAAGAACUUUUCCAGCAGAUUUUUAGACACGAUUGCAUCGAUUGUUGCUUUGUUUCUGGAUCGUAGAAAUGUACCCAAGUCUCAUCCAUUUGGUUUAAGAAGUCUACAUCAUUUUCAAAUCGAGUACAGAUCGAACGCUUUUGGUCAACAUUCAAAUAUUUGGGGAUCCAUUUUGCAGCAAUUUUUCUCAUGUACAAAUUGACGUGAACUAUAUGAUGAACGCGUUCGUAUGAAAUAUUCAGUGUUUCAGAUAUCCGUUUCAGACUAUUCGACGGUCUGAUAAAAUCAUAUCAUGAACUGCAUCGAUACUUUCAGGGACUGACACAGAAACUGGCUUUCCCGAUCGGUCAUCAUCUUCAAUGGAAAAUUUACUUCUUUUGAAGCUUGCAGUCCAAUUUUUCUCGGUCGCAUACGAAGGACAUUCAUCACCAUGGCUCGAUACUCCAAUUUUUCGAUUUUCACAAUUUCGGUGGACAUUUUUUUUAAUUUAUUACGAAACUCUGGUUUACUUUUUGGACGUCAAACUUUACACUCACACUUCUAAUAAGUUUUGGUAUGUUGCUAUGGUAACGCAAUAUUUUGUUUAUGAAUGGAACUGGUUUAGGCUAACUAGAUAUCAAUACAUCCUCAUAUGAGCUGCUGACUCUUGCAUGUUCGUGCUUGAAAACCUGUCUAUAAACGUUAAAAAAUAGUUGUUCGACUGCUUUUGAUGGUUGUAACCUAAUAUUUACUUAAGUCUCAUCUAAAUAGUAAAUUUUUCAAUUUUGUUACAUACAAUUCGUCUAUUUUAUGUUGCUCUGACUGCUUUCAAAUUAAUUUAUAUAUGAUUAUAUCUAUUUCGUUUAAAUUGAUUCUGUCUCAAAAUAUCGGUGCACCAAUCUAUUAAAGCAGUUGCUUUGGUCAGUAUUCUUGAUUAAUGAUAUUGUUUUUAUUGAUAUUUAUGUAAUUUUUAAUCCGACAACGACCUGAUCUCCAUUUUUAUGUGCAUGAUAUAAUAACUGUUCUGUUUUUGUACUUUUACUACUUGGAUAAAUGAUAUUUUUAUCCCUAUUACAAACAUACUAGUGUAGUCAUAAUUAUUUUUGAAAUUAUUUUAUCGAAAGCUAAUAUAUUGCAGAAGAGAAAGCUAAAAACUUAUAAUAAAGUUUUCGUUAUUGAACGUUUUAUUGCGGCUUUGAAUGAUAUUUUAAGCCAAAAGAUAUUCAAAUUAUUUAUAAAAUAUAUCAGCCCGUGACGAUUUCAUUGUUAAGUAUAGGUAGUUAUUUCUCUAGAAACAUUCUGAAAAUAUUCAAGAAAACGAAUAGUAUCUCCUGUAUUCAUUAUAAUGUGACUUUAACAGUUUUUCUUUGUACCUAUAGAUAGAUUAAAAAAUUGAAUCUUAAACUGCUCAAAUGAAUGAAUCAAAGACUUAAUUACAUUAAUUAGAAAUAGAUUUAAGAUGUUGUGUUCAAGUUUUUCAAUUUGAUCCAUUCAAAAACUAUUUUCAUAGACGGUAGAAUUUAUUAUACUUUUAAAGUUACUGAUUAAACACAAAUUUAUACGUAUUGUAAAAGUAUUUAUAUUGUUUGUUAAUAAAUUUUCAUUAUAUA